CUCAUUUAAGGGUUGGCACUGGAGGCAAGGGUAUCUUGCUUGAGAUUCCUGCCUGCUUGAGGACCUUGUAGGCCUUCUAAAGGCCACUUUCCAUCAGAGCAGUGAAAUAAGAGAGGGCUAGUGCACAGUAUGUCAGAAGCUACUACUAUUUUCAGGGAGGUGGGUGACAAACACAGAGCUCACUGCUAAACUACUGCAAUCAAGUGGAUCAGAAACAGAAUUGGAGCUAUUUUAUCUGGACCUAAUUAAAGAACCUUCGUUACUGGCAGCUCCUAGAAGAUUUAAAAAUAUGUGGAAGCUAGCUGAGAGUUUCGCAUGCACACCUGAAUGGCAAAUAAACUGAACAGCUCCCUGGCUCCUCCGCAUGCAAACAUUUGAAUUUCCUGUUGGCUCAGAGUGUUUGCAUUGCAAGUGACAUGUGGCUGACAGGAACUUGGAGAAAUGGGAUACGAAGUGAAUGCUGUAGUUACCACAGCAUCAUAUUUAUCAAAAGGCUUAAGUGACCGCUACAUCAGUAGAGUCUGUGUCGAUAUGGUACUGCCCAGAGUGCACCGGACUUCCAGAAAGGCAUGCUAUCGUGCUGAAAUUCUAAGGAGACACUCAUUGAAUCUCCUGGGAGAGAAAGAAGAAAUGAAGUCCUAGAUGCAGUUGUACACAGUGCUGGUAAAACAACAAAUCCUGUCAGAUACCUGAUGUAUUACUUCAGCAGCAAAUUCAACAAGGCCGAGAUGUCUUCAUUUUCCUCCAGAGCAAGAGCUGCAUGAGCAGUGUGAUGGAAGUAUUGGUCUUCUGUGGCCAGCCGGCGAGAACCCAUCAACAGCUGUGAUGAGCAGAGCAGACACAGAGAGACAGGAGGCAGCUGAAGCCAAAGAGGACCCACGCCUGGAGCUGUGUGUGUGAUUGGAGCAGAGAGAGGCCAGGACCCAAGGAAAUCCCAGCAGCAAGGGAAAAAAACAGAUUGACUCUCAGUGACUCAUUUAGCUCCUGGAUUGGACAGAUCUCUCCCCUGCUGGCAAUUUGGCUGAGCAUCAAUGGACAGAUACCAGGAUGAAUAGCUUAAAAUAAUUAGGGGUUGGGAAUCUACAAAAAUGCUAGCCAUCCAGUUCUUUACUGUGCAAUGCGAGGCACAAAAAAGAAAUUACAUUUAGGUUAUUAAAUAUUAAGUCUGUGGAUUUACCUCCAUUUGGUCCAGAACAGGAAACUGGAUAAAAUUCAACAUUUAUUUCAUUGUGCUGAUGGCCUGUUUAUCACUGAGUCGAAAAGAAGAGAAAAGAGGAAUUUGACAAAUGGUGGCAAUUGAGACUUGUGAUUUAAGAACAACAUCUCAAGCAGUUUCUCUGAAGUGGUUCUCAAUAUGAAAUGAGGUUGCCACAUGCUUACCAGUGGUGAUAGAGGUAUAUGGCUACAGAUGCCCUGCCCCUCAAAAGCUUUUUGUCUAUCAGAGUCAUGGAUGAAGAACACCAGGUUUGUGUGCAAACUGGAGACACCACAGAAACUAACAAGGGCAGACCAGAAACACUAUGGAAACAUCAUGUAUAAUCCACCUGGGCAAGACCUAAGGCUGGGCCUCUGCUCUGUGCCCUGUUCUAUGAAUUUUGACUGGAUUAAGAAACGCCAAGUUGAGUGUUGGCAUUGCACAAUGUUUUGGUUACAUCUUUUAAGAAAUGACUGCAAAAAAAAAUGUCUGUGAUCUUAAAGCCCUGAAGUCCAAAUGGUGAGCCAGACUUUUCAACCAAGAGCCUGGAUCAAGGCAUUCCACCCAGGCCUGCUGGACGUCAGUUCCACAGCCAAGUGGCUCAGGCUCAUCAGGAGCACUUUCUUGAAACAAUUGUAUUUGGGAUACUUUUUAGGUAACUGCUGACCUAAAUUGAAUUUUCCAGAUUCCUUCCAGAAUUGACAUUGUAAAAAACAAUCUGCCUUUCCCAGGCACAUCAUAGUACGUUUUCAGCUAAAAAUUAUCUCUGGUCCUGAUAGGUGCUCAUAACUCAGAAGUAGGCAGACUACAGAAAUUCUGUGUUGAAUGCAAAAUUACUUUAACAGAUUUAUAAUGCAGGUGUGUUACCCAAAGUAAGAGUGCAGGAGGGAGGGCCUGCUGAAAGUGUUUAAAAUGUAUGAAGUAUUAAUUAUUUUGUGCUGUCUGCUGGAAGAUAAGUCCAUGCUCAGUAAGCUAUCUAAACUGUGUUUUUCACUACACAUGUUUGUUAUGUUUUGGUUUUAAUUUGCAGUGACACAAAAUCUUGCAUAACCAACUUGAAUGCAUCUUUGAAUAUUAAAAAUACUAAUUAUUAUGUAAUUAGUCAACAGGAUAUGUGUAAUUGUGUAAUACCAGAAUUCCUGGGUGUGGUAAGAACAUAGGUAGAAUGCCAACACUCAUCUAGACACAGUAUUAUAAAAUUACACAACACAUACCCUGGGUGGGUACUGUAAUUGUAUUUUACAUUUAAACAAUGGCUACGUUAAGAAAAUAGUGCUUAUCCUUUUUAAAAAGAGUAUCUUCCCACUGGCAUGAAUCUUAGUAAAUGAUGAUGAUAACUAUGUCCAAAUAGUGUGUAUUCCAUCUCCCAGGGGACCCAGCCUUCUUUGUAAAUAUAUAAAUAGGAGAUUGAAACCACUUGUGGCAGGAAGCCACCCCAAAACGGACCUGUGACAAUUGCUGAAUCAUGCACAUGUAAUCAAAUGUGAAAAAUGUACAGGAAGAAUUUUCUAUCUCAUGAAAAAUCAUGUGAGAUUAGCAGAAAUCCGAGUAGAAAUUAUAUUAUUUCUAUGAUUUGAUAGACAUCAAUGCCAUCCUUAAACCAUGGUGGAAACAGAACUAUACAAUGAAUCAGAUUCUUCUUUGAACUUACCCAUGAAGAUCUAGGUUACAGUCAUAAAAUGUACUGAGCAUUUUAGUUGCCUAUUACCUGUGCUAAGAUUAAUUGCCCAUAGAGUGCAAAAAUCUUCUGUACUCAUGGCCAGCACUCCCCAGCACACACCUAGUCGUCACUCAUCCUUUCUAUGGUACAUCUGCGGUCAUUGAUGGGCACGCACUUCACUGGGGCCAGCACUAAGAGGUGGUGAGUUCUACAGUAUAGACAGACAAGGAGGAUUGUUCUUUUACACCGGUCAACACUUCUCUCUUUCAAUAGAGAUUCAUGGUGAAAAGUUCAAGAAAAGAACAGAAAGGUGAAAAUUCCAACAGCAAAUGCAAAUGACUAUGCUCUUACUCAUUAUAAAUGUAAAAUACUGGAGCCUAAAGCUGGGGUUUUUUCAUGUACCUGAGUGGAAAAGGGUGAGGUGCCCUGUGAGGAUGAUUUUAUCUUUUACUUUUGAGUCUGAAGAUCUUCAAUGUGGUUUGGCAAGUUCAUAAAAAUAUUUGUGAUAAAGUUGAACUGCUGUCUGGAAAUGUAACAUGCAGAGAUGCAAGGAAGCUUGAGAAGAAAAGCGCAGAAGAGUCAGCACUGCACAUGAAUGAGGUUAAAAAUUGCAGACGAUUAGCUACUAGAUGACUCCUACUAAAUAAAUCAUCAAAGACCUGACUGCUGCUUCCAGGUUUCCACAACAGUAUUGGCUCAUUGAAGAAGCCAAAAAUUGCUUAAUAUAUUAACUUGGCCAAAGUUUUAGGAAUCUACUGUUCUUGCUUGAAUUCACUGAUCAACCAACAAGGCCAAGGCUGUAAAGUGGGUGCCUCCAUGUUUAUUGCUCAGGAUCAAAGGCCAUAUGAUAUGGAAAAUGAGCUUCUUUGUGUUAAAUGAGAGCAGUAUGGGAAAGAAAAACAACCUGAACAUGUCAUGGACUCUCACAUCUUAUUUCAGCACUCAGUAAAGCACUUUGCUUGUCCAAUUUAAUAGAGAAGCAAAAUUUCUUUUCCUGUAUGCCUCCACUGAUCAGGUCUAGCACUGAUCUCAUUUAGAGCUUAAUCCAAGACCAAAAGUAAAGGGAAAAUAUUCUCAUUGCUUCCAAUUGGCAUCUGGUCAGUCUUGCAUGGUUGUUUUACUUAAAUGUAUAUACAGUGCUGAGCUUCUCCCAAGAAAAAAAAAAAAAAAGAUGUAAAUGAUAAGAGAUGGGAGUGUGUACACUCAACUUUCCACUCUCCUGCUACUUGCUGCUGAUAGGACCAGUACUUUGGCUUUGCAAAGGCUUCUUAGUUUAUCUGCCCUUUCUGCAGGAUUAACUGGUUAAAAAAAAAGAAGUGCUCACUUUGACCCUCAUUGUUGCUACAUCUGGGCAGCUCACCACAGUUGUACUCUCUUACUGCUUGAGUUUUACUUGUGUCCCUGGCCUGUUGUGAUAAUCCUCUGAAUGUCAUUGUUGUGAAGGUUUUGUUCUUCCCAAAAACUCUCCAGAGGUUCUGUGAAGGCAAGUAGGGUUGAGAUUAACAGUAAAUUGUAUGUGUCACUAUAAUGAAUGGAAAUAUGCAGUCUAAUGAUUGAAUUUAACAGGAAAUUGAAAUGUUUGACUUUCCACAAGUCCAGUUUACAUUAUUUGGACUCCUGGCAUUGCUAGGUGAACCUCACCCUAUGCUGAAGGCCAGCCUAGGGCCUAAUUAUCACUUACAUGCAGUUUAAACUAUCUUCAGAAUAAGACUGAAGUGGUGCAUAAGCCUCACACUGUCUCUCUGUGCAGGAAUUUAAAAAGAACCUGAUUUGGAAAACACUAGGAAAAAAUACUAACGUUUUGCACAUCAAAAAAGGUAAUUAGAAAUGCUUUUCUUUUAUAACAAAUAAGCCAAGCAUAUUGACAUUAAUUAUAAGAACUACUCAGGGUUUGGAAUAAUCUGUUUAAGAGCACAGAUGUAUACCAAAUCCUAUGCAAAUGAGAGUGUGUUUGCAACUAUUCUUCAGGUAACACAUUUACUUAUAAAAAUAAGGUAUGAGUUUGGGUUUCUUUUUAAUCAUGAAAAGUCUUUCUCUCUCUUGCUCUUCCUCAACACAGUGAGAUAGCUGUAUCUGUUCAGCACAGCCUUCCAUGCGUUCCAGGAGCUCGAAGCAAAUUCUUUCCUUACGUGAGUUAGUACUACUCUGUCAGCUUUCCUGGCAUUACAUCACUGUAACUAGGAGCAGAAUUUGUUCUCCUUUGGUAGUAAAUUUCCUUUGGUUUCAAAAAAAGCUAAUGGAAUUCAUAAUCGCAUUUAUAAUUUUCAGUCUGUGUCCCUGAGCUUACUAGUGACGGAAGUAUUUAAGGAAAAUGCUGUGAAUGUGAUUUGUUAUGUCGUCCUCUAGUGCUGGUAGAGACUUUUAAUAACAUUGGUCAGAAAACUUUGCCGAUCACUUCUUUUACUCCAGCUGGCUGCGAAGAAAACUCUUACUUUUGAUAGCAUUAGUACAUGAUAGAGUUCUUCUGUGUAAGGGCCAUGACAGGCAGCCUCAGCUAGCUGAAUCGCUCCAUCCAUAGUGCUCCCAUAUCCCUGCCCCAUUCCCUGGUCCUUCCAUCUCACAUACUGCUUCUAUAUGGACACUAGGCACUUCAAUUUCCAGGUCAAAUUCUCUUAUAGAAUAUGACAAAUAUUUAUCUUAAGGAUAUCUCUUAAGUUUGAUGAGAGAGCUUGCACAGGAGCUGCUCAGUGGUCGUUGUAGAUUGUCACCUGGCAGGGCUGGGUUUGGACUGGCAUGCUUUGGGCCCAAAAUCUUGGAGCCUGCUUCACAGUUUCUUAGCCAACCUAUAAAUGCCAGAGCUUAGCGUAUUUACUCCUAUAAACACCAGUCCACAAGGCCAAGCGUUGGUAGUAAAUACUUAAUCUCUCUCAUCACCAGUAGAUGUUGCCAGUGCUGGUUCAGGUUCCUUGAAUGAUUUGCCAUAACAAUCUUCUAAACGUUUCCCAGGUAUUUCCAGGGCUACUGUGGUCGAACAAGUUCCAAAAGGCUUGCAGUAAAGUGUCCACUUUCACUGCUCAAGUUCAAGCCCAUUAAAGGCUUUGAGGAAAUCCAUUCAGUGCUUUGCACAAAGAAGAACAAAUGUGAACCAUUCCAGUGAGUUGCAGGUAUCAUUUCAGGCCUCUACAAAGUGUGGGGGGGGAAAUCUUCAUAUAUUCUAAUAAGCUGUCAGCAGUUGGCCUUCAGUCCAGCUUCAAGAUUUUUUUAAUGCCAGCAACUACCAGGAGAUCCAGACAAACUCAAACUGGAGAUUUCCUAAGCCUCAAAUCGUUGAGCGGUUACACACCACCUGUGAAACUGCAGCCUUUGACCUGUUCUCUUAUUUCCACUUCUGAGCAUCCACUACUGAAUCUGUUGCUGGAAUCAUCAGCAAAUAUUUCAGCCACUCCACAGCUCUGCAAGUUCUGACAAGGAGAAAUCAAGGCACCAGGGAAAAGAGAAGCCAGGUGGGAGAAGUGAGAUGCAGGAGGAAGGCAGGCUCUGGAGCAGCUCAGUAUGAGGUAGCUCAUACUGGUAGCUGGAGCGAAGCAAACUCCAGAAGAGAGACCUACAUAUACCAUGCAGCAGAAGCUCCCACAGACCCCAGUUUCCCCAGCAUGGGCCAGACUGUUGGCUUAACUCUGCUGAUUGCUCCUCCCUAGCACUUUCCUCCAGCCCACAACAGCGCUUCAGUAGUGUCAACAGCCUUCAGUAGUCUCCAAAAGACCUGCAGCAAAGGAGAGAACAGUGAGGAAGAAGAGCUUGCAGAGGUAACUAAGAGUUAACUGGCUACAUUUCAGCUGUCACCAUUGUCUUACAUCUACAGAGAGAGUGGGGAGAGCCAAGGAGAUAACAAUGGGAGCAGAUCCACAGUCUAGUGAGGACCUGGCCCGCUAUACUUUUGUGGUGUGUGUUGCAUUUCAGAGCCAGCACUUACCAGAGACGGUAAGAACAGACAGAAUAGGCUGUCCUAUAUAUUUGAUUGAAUUAAGUGUAGCAGAAAAAAAAUAUAUAGUUAACCCAGUGACUUCCUUAAGAUGAAAGAGAACAAGCCCCCAAAGAAAGAACAAAUGGAAAAAAUAAUGAACAAAAGAAAAUAAGAGCUUGUGACACAAAGUAAGAAAAAUAAACAGCAGUUGACUUAACUAUUUUGCAUAAGAUAUUUACAAACCACAGCAUAUUACUGUUUGCUUUAUGCAUUUUCACAUCCUGCUCAGUUUAAAGCAGUAAUUUUCUGCAAGGACAACAGAGGGAAAAAAAAUGCUUUACACUGCUUAUAUUAAUUACUUUUUUUCAUUACCCGUCAUGUUUUCUACAGGCUUGUGUAUUAUUACUGUAAAAUGUAAUGAAACAGAAAAAGAAAAAAAGAAUGGACUUCUGGGAAAUUUUCCAAUUCUUGAAAUGCGAUGUUAAUUGAGAGCUAUUUUUAGGUCAUCACGGGUAGAGCUGAACCCAUUGCCAUCAGCGCACACAAAGGGGAUGGCCCAGGUGCAACACAAACUGGGUGAGGGUAUCAGUUUCUACUGAUGGAGAAGAAGGGAGAGAAACUAUCUCCCUGGAGGGAUGGGUCUUGAUGGGCUUGGGGCAGCUUCUAUUUUUCAACAUAAAGUUCUCAAAGCACAAAAAGAAAAGAAAGGGUAUGGAGCCAGCAUGGGUCCAGGACCUGCCGUAACCAUGGGUGCUUCAGAAAGAGACCCAGUGACAGGAGGGCAGAGCAAAUGAAAGUGAGAAGCUCUCUCUGCUUUAGUGGCUGACUUCCAGCUCUGGCAUGGAGGGCACUCUGAAAGUCAGCAUAAAAUAAAGUCCCCCUAAAUGUAUCAGAAACGUGAUCCCUUUAAUUUAUAGAUCUCCUAAAAGGCUGCCAAAAAUCAAUUAUUUUAAUUUGUAUAUAGCACAGCCAUGGACUGAUUCAAGUUCUUUUGAAGUAUUUUUAAACAGCCAUUGCACAAAGCCACCCUCUUUCCCAUAUGCAAAAAAUGAAUUGAAAACCACAAUCUCUUGCAGUCACUUUGAUCGCGAGAAAAGACACACAGGACUCUGCAAGCAAAUCUGAGGCCCCCUGCUAAGUCCUGUAACUGGUACCUUUACUAUUAGUCCCCAGAAUCAGCUCUCCCUGUGUUAUCUGCCUCUUUUCCCAAAGAGUGCAGGGAAGGUGUUUGAGCCAAUAACAGCUUGUGAAGACCAGAGGAAAUACUUGCGGGUGGGUGGAGGUUCCCUUUGAAACUGGAGAAGUGGAAAAUCUUUGGUGUGCACUUAGUAAGGCUGGAAUGAAAGGGGAAAGAGCAUCUCAUGUGGGGGAAGCCACCCUUAUCUCCACAAAGCUGUUUGUUCUUUGUGUUACACAGCACUGCUAUAAAAACAAGAGCCUAACACGCUUUUUUUUUUCAGCAGCCAUCCUCACAUGCCAGGUAGCAUGUUUUGGAAAAGCUGAGAUUACGCCAAACAAUUUUCUACCCACUUUUGCCCCCUUCAUGUAGCAGUCUCAAAAUGGAGUCAUGAUCAGAUGGUCGAUUACCAAGAAUGUAGCGAUAGUGUUUGUUUUGAUGCUACUGCAGUUCUAGUAACCAGCCUGUAGGCACAGGAGACACCUCUCCACCCAUAUUGGCCCAGAUCAUCAAAGUCAUUUUGAGGUGGAUCCUAAACAAAGACACUUAAGUAUUCAAAUUCCUGGGAUAAGCUGGUCCUUUCUCCCUGGAACAAAUAGCUUACAUCUUGUCCUUUGUUUUUUUUAAUUCACUACAGGUUUCUUUGCUUUUUUGUGGUUUUGUCAGCCAGCUCACCAGAUCCAUCUCUUUUCCAGUCUCAACUCAAAAAUCUGAAGUAUGGCCAAGGGCAACGUGAAGUAGCAGGCAAAGUGCACCCCUGGGUCUGGCAGCAUGGCUCACCUUGACCUGUGCAGUAGCAUGGGCCUUAGCUAUUCAUCAUUAACUUGUUCUUGUUUCUUGCCUAUCUUCAAAUUUUUUUCCUGCCCAUCUAUAAGCUAUGAUUUGUCAAAAAAUACUACGUCAGUGCAUUCCAGGUGUGUUUCUCUCUCAGCAUAUUUGAAUGGUAUAGAAAUGUUAUGGAUUUGCCUGGAAAAGUUUAGACGGAUAAAAGAAAAAAACCACAAAGCAAAGCAAAACACAAACAGAAGAGUUUGUUUGCAGUUCAAACUUCUCUAGUGCUAAGAUAGAAGUGAUAAACCAUAAAUAUAAGCCAACAUGAUUUUCUCUUAUCUGACACAUUGAAUUGAGACUGUUGAGCUUAAACACUUAAAACAGAAUUGACAAACACUUCCUUUUAGAAAUGCUGCAUCAAAACUAUUAACUUUUAUACCGAGAAACCAUUUUAGAGCCAAGGCAAGGCAUGUGCAUUAGCACAUACUGCCGCUCACCCACACAAAAGGCGAGUGAACUCUGAUACUCAGUUUGCAAAUCAAGAGAGAAGUCCUAUUCCUAUUGACUAUGCUUGUCCUGCCUCCAGUGGUGGUGCCAGCAUUUGGACUUCAAUUUGCCAAGCCAAGGAGGCUCCAGCUAGUUGUAGCCUCACCAUAGACCUUAGCUCAUUAUUCGCCUGUCAGCGCUAUACUUCAUCAAGUCUGACAGCUAACCCCAUAGUUUUGUAUCUCUGCAUGACAGGCUCCUUUCUGCAUUUAGACUUGAGUUAUUCCCCUUUGCUAGAAAAAUUGAUCUGGAUCUGUAGCUCUCUGAUUGAAAGUCACGUCUUUUCCGCAAAUAACUCAGCUUUGUUCUUUCAUAAGGCUUCAGUUCUCUUCAGCACCCUAAGCUGCUUUCCUUGUAGGCGGUGGUCCAGAAAUGGAAGGGCUCCUUUACAGACUCAAGCAGCUAUGUCCCAUUAUUACUGUUCCUAUAUUUAUUUUGUCCAAAGUACAACUAGCUCAGCAUCCAUCGUUGUAUCUGUUAGAAAUACACAGACAAGGAGAGCUCACAGUAGUAAAUUAUGGUUCAUCCAACCACUUAACUCCUAUGGUUGCUGGCUUUCACAAAAAGUAAAAGGGACUGAAGUUCAGGGCAGUCAGCCAUACCACGCCGCCUCUGAGUGCAGUGGUGGCGCUGGAGCAGGGCGCGAGUGCUGAGGAUUUGGGAGCAGAGUCUGUGUGCCAGCACUUCAUGGCUGUUUCUGUGUCUUUGGAUUUUCCUGACAUUUACAUAACCACCCAUGGCACAAGAGGAGUUAAGCACCUGGUAAGCACCACAGCUCUUCCAUGGUACAAUGGCUGGAGGCUGCAAGGAUCUUGGGCAUGCUUAGCCAGGAGUGAAGUCCCACUGCCCUCCAGUUCCUGAGACAGAAAGUUGGAAGGCACCGUUAAAGAUUAUCUAGUCAAAAAUAAUGUGGCAGUGCUCAUCAGUCUGAACCGCUUGCAUCAGUCCUCAGAGAAACUCCAAGCACUGUUUUUCCCCCCUCUGGAUUGUAGCUGUUGAUGCUGCCUUUGCGGUCUCCCAGCUCAAAAAUCCCCUAGAACUGCCAAACUAAAACUCACUUUCCUGCCAGGGUGACCCAACAGAGCACAGAAGUGGAGCCCAGACCUGACCCUCAGGUAUCUGUGAGAGGAAAGCCCAAAUUCUGAUUUCUCCAAGAAGAAGCAGGUACUGAGCUGAGAGAGGAGGGAUUUGAGUUUGAGCACCCUGGGGUCUGGGCAGCAUCAUCACUGAUUCCCUGGGCUGGUUUCCCCUGCUGAGCUGUGCGUCACUGCACAGGCUGGAUGAUGUCAGUGCUGCCCAGGCAAGCUUCAGUUUGGCUGCUGGAUAAAGGGAAAAGUUGUCGUCACCACACAGACAGAAAACCAAAGAAAGCUUGUGUCUUCGGGCUAAAAAGCCAGCUAAAAUGAAGAAUGGAGAAGUAUGAGACCUUUGCUGGCCCCACAAGGGAGGCCAAGGACUGGCAGAAGCACAAGCAGAGGAAAAGUCCCACCGGGUCAAGGGAAGGGACAUGGCAGACUAAUAAGCACCAUUACCACAAGGAGAACUUUGCUCAACUUCUCAUGCCAGAAAGGACUGCCCAGACUGGCAGAUAAAUCUCCCUGAAGAUAGAGGAGUUAGAGGUUAGAGCACCAUAUUUAUCUCCAGCUACUUAGCAAAUAGUGAGAUGCUACAAAACAGAAUUGGAGUUUCAGCAGAAGGAAGGUGUCACUGAGUGGUAACAACGGCACAACCAUGCUUUGCCUCCGUUGGCAGCAACCUGCUCUCAGGUGGAAGAUUGCUCUUCAGCAUUUGGCCCAGGUCAGACAGGUAUUAGCGUGUCAUAUGCAGCAUCAUGCACUGAGAAGCUUGAUGUGUGAGCUGCUUUUAUACGCAGUCCUCCAAAAAGGAACAUUCUGUGUGGCCGCAGGUGAGCUGAGCCACUUCUGCCAAGCUGGAAGUUGUUCAAGAGAGUGGGUCAGACCUCGAGGAGCUGCCCCAGCGCCGCUGCCACCAUGGAGAACGGAGAUUGAGCACAUCCACAAAGCGGCGGCUGGUCGGGCUCACGAGCAGGCUGGGGAAGGAGCAGCUCUGUGCUACCCACGGGGCGUCCCUCCGGAGGGGGCACCCAGUGCGGCUGAGCAAUGCACACACAGCUGGUGGCACUCACUGGAUGCUCCCAGAAAACAGACGGCAUUGGUCCACCUCAAACGCCUCCCACGAGAAGUUCAAACUAAUUUUUUAGAGAAAUGCGCAGUCACCCGGGCGUGGGGCUGACGGCAAUGCGGUCCCCGUGCCACGGCCCACCUGGAGGGCAGGCGUGCAGAGGAGCCCCAUCAGACACACAUUGCGUUCUAUUAAGAAAAAAAAAAGGAAGAAACUUAUGAGUUUCAUAGAAACAAAUUGCUAUUUAAUUGCAAUGAGCUCUUCUGUGGCUUCGCCGGACUGACAACAGGCAUACACCUGGUACUGAACAGCAACAACAAAGGCUCCCUGGUACUUCACGUACUGCAGACUCGGGAAGUGAAACCGGUCCUGGAACACGUCUCACACUGAAGAAAUACAAUACUUCGAAGUCCUAUUUUUGCCCAGGCAAUGAAGUGCUAAAAGAAAUCCAACAGACCUCAGCACACUAGAGGCCAAGAAGUAGAAUCUGAAACAAAAUACAUCUGCUGCUGGUUGUUCAGAGAGACAAAGCUACAAAUCUGCUUUUUAUGCAUCAGCAUCACAACAAAAGUAAGUGCAGCUCACUCCAUAACCAAACAAGCUACACCUUCUUGAAAACAGAAUUUAAAAAGAAAACAUAAUCUUGCUGUAUUUCAAAUGCAUUGGUCUCCAAUAAAAGUUGAACGGUUGGUAACGCUGAUUUGCUCGGAGUUGCAGCAGAGGCACGUUCUAGAUGCCUGCAGCUCCCAGACUGGAGGCAUACAAUGCAGUCACAGAUUCAUGUUACUGUUCCUGCUACAAGUAUGAAAAAUGAGGAUUUUUUUUCUUAGAGUUGUUGUGCACAGCCCUGCGGAUGAGCAGCUGAAGGGAAAGGCCCACUGAACGGAGCUGCCCUCUUUCUAAGCUCAGAGAAAGUUUUCUUGCUUUGGAAGGGGUUUUGUUUCCUUCCAGAGAGCAGACCAUAGCUGCCAUCAGUUUGUUCUCGGAAUUAGCCUAGGAAGCGCGUUUUUCUUUCCUUAAGAUUAUCAGUUUUAAGUUUCUUGCACAGCAAACGCAACUUUAUUUUGUUCAGAUCAGAAUAGCUAUUGUAUUCCUUUUUAUGAGUGCUCAAUUCUAGUGCUCAGCAUGAGGUACGGACCUUUUGUUGCUUUUAUUUUUAUUAUUAUUCCUGAACCUCUUAAAGUAUAUUCAUACACGCUCAUGCUUGCACACUCACAGACACAUGCAUACCUCUAACACAGGCAAUUCUGCGGGAAGGAGCCAGACAGAAAGAGACCACAACACCUAUAAUGUGUACCACUCUUCACUGCAAUCUGAGCUGUCAUGUAUUUGCUGUUACCAGAAGCAAGAAUCUCGAUGAAAACUAAAGAUCAUUUUGAAGCAGCGCCCCAUAUCCACGCCAAAAUUAAGACGG